rnacentral:SRP_RNA from 1 species
GCCUGUAGUCCCAGCUACUCGGGAGGCUGAGGUGGGAGAAUCGCUUGAGCCCAGGAGUUCUGGGCUGUAGUGCACUAUGCGAUCGGGUGUCUGCACUAAGUUCGGCAUCAGCAUGAUGACCUCUCGGGAGCGGGGGACCACCAGGUUGCCUAAGGAGGGGUGAACUGGCCCAGGUAGGAAAUGGAGCAGGUCAAAACUCCCAUGCUGAGCAGUAGUGGGAUCGUGCCUGUGAAUAGCCACUGCACUCCAGCCUGGGCAACAUAGCGAAACCCCAUCA